GGAUGAGCUGCCCGACUGGGCUGCCGCCAAGGAGUUUUACCAGAAGUACGAUCCUAAGGACGUCAUCGGCAGAGGAGUGAGCUCUGUGGUCCGCCGUUGUGUUCAUCGAGCUACUGGCCAUGAGUUUGCGGUGAAGAUUAUGGAAGUGACAGCUGAGCGGCUGAGUCCUGAGCAGCUGGAGGAGGUGCGGGAAGCCACACGGCGAGAGACACACAUCCUUCGCCAGGUCGCCGGCCACCCCCACAUCAGUGAGGCUGUCUUCCUUGCUCCUGUUAGCAGAUGACCCCCCACCUCCUGCUGGCCCUGCCCAUAGCCCACUUCCGCCAACAUUGCCUCCACACCUCUCCUCCCUUCAUUCCACUAAAGAGUGGCCAUCCUUUGGGCCCCCACUGCCUCCUCUGGUUCUCCUUUCUUCCCAGUAACAGCCCGCUGCUGUCCCAGGGUGGCCAAGCCCUGUUAAUGUGCAUCCACUCCUUUCCAUCUCUGUCUCUCUGCCUCUCUUCCUCUCUCCCUAGUCACCCUCAUCGAUUCCUACGAGUCUUCUAGCUUCAUGUUCCUGGUGUUUGACCUGUGAGUAUCUCCCUGCCACCAUCUGAGAAGCCUCCUACCCACCUCCAUGUAUGGCCGAGCAUUUGCGGCACAUUGGGCUGGACCCACCCUGCUCACACCUUCCUGUUCCAGCUGGGGCUCUCUAUUACCUGGGCCUGCCUGCUAGCCCAUGGCUCUGGCCUUCUCCCUUGGUGCCAUGAUUGAGGCAAAUUCUUUAAUAGUGACUAGCGGCGGGGCACAGUGGCUCACGCCUGUAAUCCCAGCACUUUGGGAGGCUGAGGCGGGCGGAUCAUGAGGUCAGGAGAUGGAGAUCAUCCUGGCUAACACGGUG
rnacentral:sRNA from 1 species